AUGAGAGAAAGUAAAAGGAGGAGACCCUGUGUUUGGCCAUUAAAAGGAAUUUUCUCUUCUCCAACAGUGGUCACUGCUCUUUCUCUUUCUUUUUCUCUCUUCCAAACAAUUGGUGGCUGGGAGUGUGGGGUUUGUGACCUGUCCACAGAACUGGAAGCAACGUAGAAAGGGUUUGGUCGAAAAUUUUCCAAUGCCGCGGCAGAAGAUUCAGAUCAAGAAGAUUGACAACACAGCAGCAAGGCAAGUGACCUUCUCAAAGAGGAGAAGAGGGCUUUUUAAGAAAGCACUGGAGCUCUCGACACUGUGUGAUGCCGAGAUAGAGCUUAUUGUCUUCUCAGCAGCAGGAAAGCUCUUUGAGUAUUCAAGCUCAAGUGUGAACCAGGUGAUUGAAAGGCACAGUCAGCAUCCACAGACUCCAGAGAAACCAGAGCCACCAUCUCUGGAGCUGCAGCUGGAGAACAGAACCUGUGCAGCCUUGAGCAAAGAAAUUGCUCAGCAGACUCAGAGGCUGAGGCAAAUGAGAGGAGAAGAGCUCCAGGGAUUAAAAAUAGAAGAAUUGAUUGAACUAGAGAAAUUACUUGAAGCUGGUCUGUGCAGCGUUGUGGAAGAAAAGGCUGAAAGAAUUCAAACAGAGAUCAGUGACCUCCAGAGAAAGGGAGACCUGCUGCGGGGAGAGAAUGAAAGGUUGAGAAAGUGGAUGGAGAAUAUUUCUGAAGCACAACCUCUUCUUCAACAGGGCCACUCAUCUGAAUCAAUCACAAAUAAUAUUUGCAGCUUAUCAGAUCCUAAUCAAGGCCAUCACAACUCUGAUACUUCUCUCAAGCUGGGGUUACCAUUCUCCAACUGAAUCUGAAGGGGAUGGAGAAGCAAGAGGAAUGAAUGGCUGAGAGAAACGAAGAAUAAAUAGUGGAGAGGCAUGGGGAAGAAACGGCGGAGCUUAAUCAUUUUGAAAUAAAAGACAUACAAUUUGAUGGCGUCUCUAUUCUAAUAUUUAUGCUCUAUGUAAUCUGCAGCUACUCAGAAGUCAGAACUGCCUUGUUGUACAUUUUUAGACGCUUGUCUGUCAAAAUGAUUUAGCUCCAUUCGUGCAAUUGUAUGUGGAAGAAGACCUUGAGGGUGUAAGGCUGAUGGCAUCAUCAAGGUGCUCUAUUGGGAAAGUAUACUUUAGUUGUGGAAGUUUCCAGAAGUUGACUAUAUAUAUAUAAAUGGAAUAUUUAAGUUCCAUAUGAAAGUAUAUUUUUAUUAGUA